AUUGAACGCUGGCGGCGGGCCUAACACAUGCAAGUCGAGCGGAUGAAGGGAGCUUGCUCCUGGAUUCAGAGGCGGACGGGUGGGUAAUGCCUAGGUAUCUGCCUUGCAUUGUAGGAUAACGUCCGGAAACGGGCGCUGAUACCGCAUCCGUCCUGAUGGAGAAAGUGGGGGAUCUUCGGACCUCACGCUAUCAGCUGAGCCUAGGUCGCAUUAGCUAGUUGGUGGGGUAAAGUCCUACCAAGGCGACGAUCCGUAACUGGUCUGUGAGGAUGAUCAGUCACACUGGAACUGAGACACGGUCCAGACUCCUACGGGAGGCAGCAGUGGGGAAUCUUGGGCCAUGGGCGAAAGCCUGAUCCAGCCAUGCCGCGUGUGUGAAGAAGGUCUUCGGAUUGUAAAGCUCUGUAAGUUGGGAGGAAGGUCUGUGAGUUAAAAUCUUGCUGUUUUGACGUUACCCACACAGUAAGCACCGGCUAACUUCGUG
rnacentral:rRNA from 1 species